rnacentral:tRNA from 1 species
UUAAGAAUGGCAGAAGAAAUAAAUGCGUUAGAUUUAGGGUCUUAUAAUGAAAUUAUAAAUUUUUUCUUUUUUGAAU